AAGGGCACCACAAGAACGCGUGGAGCAUGUGGCUUAAUUUGACUCAACGCGGGAAAGCUUAUCGGGUCCGGACACACUGAGGAUUGACAGGCGAGAUAUAUUCGUAUAUCGCUACAUUUGUAAGUCCUUUCAUGAUUGUGUGAUAGGUGGUGCAUGGCCGUUCUUAGUUCGUGGAGUGAUCUGUCUGCUUAAUUGCGUUUCAGAUAAAAGGCACUACACUGCGAGGUGUCUUAUAUACUUGUUAUAUUUGCGCGCUGAGCGGGUAUGCCUUUGAAAGCAACGAACGUGACCUCAGCUCGAUGUUAUGUACAUUAUAAGUACAAGUAACCUUCGAGGACUGCCAUGGUGUAAACCAGGAGGAAGGUUGAGGCAAUAACAGGUCUGUGAUGCCCUUAGAUGUUCCGGGCUGCACACGUGCUACAAUGAUUGUUGCAGAAAGUAUCUGCAUAAGCAAGCCACUAUAGGUUUAUUCUUAUAGGCUAGGCUUCAGUAUACUCUUUAUUGAGUAAACAAAAGACCUAUCUCGAAAGUUCGAUAGGCAAUCAAUUCCAAGUGAUAAUCUCUCACAUACCCUGCACAAGUCCAAGCAAGAGUGUAGCAAUCACGUAUUUAUACGCCGUUUGACUCGCCUUGCUGUGCUCUGUAAAUUCAUGGUCGGGACAGACCAUUGAAUAAUUGUUGGUCUCGGUCUCAACUAGGAAUGCCUUGUACGGGUCUCUGGUUCAACAAACCACCCGGAAUACGUCCCUGCCCUUUGUACACACCGCCCGUCGCUCUUACCGAUGGACUUCUCUGUGAGUUCGAGGGACUGGCAUUAUGCGUUGUCAAAGACGUAGCUAUGGAAACUCGAACGAACAGUGUGGUCUAAAGGAAGGAGAAGUCGAACAAGGCA
rnacentral:rRNA from 1 species